rnacentral:rRNA from 1 species
CCUACGGGUGGCAGCAGUGGGGGAUAUUGCACAAUGGGGGGAACCCUGAUGCAGCGACGCCGCGUGGGUGAAGGAGCGUUUCGGCGCGUAAAGCCCUAUCGGCAGGGAAGAAGAUGACGGUACCUGACUAAGAAGCCCCGGCUAACUACGUGCCAGCAGCCGCGGUAAUACGUAGGGGGCGAGCGUUAUCCGGAUUUACUGGGUGUAAAGGGAGCGUAGACGGCUGGUCAAGUCUGAAGUGAAAGCCCGGGGCUUAACCCCGGAACGGCUUUGGAAACUGAGCAGCUAGAGUGCUGGAGAGGUAAGCGGAAUUCCUAGUGUAGCGGUGAAAUGCGUAGAUAUUAGGAGGAACACCAGUGGCGAAGGCGGCUUACUGGACAGUAACUGACGUUGAGGCUCGAAAGCGUGGGGAGCAAACAGGAUUAGAUACCCUGGUAGUC